GCUGAAGUUGUGUGGAUGGUAUAAAGUAUGUGGGCCCUGAAACCCAAUCAUGUUAUAACCAUGCCACAUGGCAUGCCACUCUGGGGACCAAGCUUACUCAAGCCACCCCUGCUUUUAUACCCACUGCAGAAGACAAGCCUGAUUACUGGAAGAGCAGGAUAAAAGAAAACCUACUUUUCACCCCAACACUUUGACAGUGGCGUUGCCCAUUUCUUUUAAGGAAGUGGAGGAGCAGAUGCUGGAACGCUGUGACCUACAGAGUGUGCGCCUGCCAGCCCUGGCAGAUUCCCCCCCAGAUGACAUGAUUACUCACUAACAGCAAGUGCUGGCACGUGACAGUGUAAGG